ACACGACUACAUUAGAUACCCCUGUAGUCCUAGCCGUAAACGAUACUCGCUAGGUGUCGGCCACGGUGCGACCGUUGUCGGUGCCGUAGGGAAGCCGUGAAGCGAGCCACCUGGGAAGUACGGCCGCAAGGCUGAAACUUUAAGGAAUUGACGGGGGAGCACAACAACGGGUGGAGCUUGCGGUUUAAUUGGAUUCAACGCCGGAAAUCUUACCGGGACCGACAGCAACAUGAAGGCCAAGCUGAAGACUUUGCCGGAUUAGCUG
rnacentral:rRNA from 1 species